rnacentral:rRNA from 1 species
UACGUAGGGGUCUAGCGUUGUCCGGAAUUAUUGGGCGUAAAGAGCUCGUAGGCGGUGUGUCGCGUCGGCCGUGAAAACCUGCAGCUUAACUGUGGGCUUGCGGUCGAUACGGGCAUCACUGGAGUUCGGCAGGGGAGACUGGAAUUCCUGGUGUAGCGGUGAAAUGCGCAGAUAUCAGGAGGAACACCGGUGGCGAAAGCGACUUCCUGGACCAAUACUGACGCUCAUGAUGCGAAAGCGUGGGGAGCAAACAGG